AAAAGCCAAAACAGUGACUCAAGUCAAAUGGCGCAAGUUCGUGAAACAAUUGAGCUACUUACUCACAUUUUGAAUGAGAACGGAUGCUCUAAACUGAAAGCGGAAAUAUUCAGACUUGCAAAGUUUGAUAAAGAUGAAGCGGCAUUGGUGCUAUGGAAGAUGCUUUUUGAACUACUUUACUAUUCAAAAUAUGGAGUCAUUGAUGAAGUGACAAUAAGAGCAUUUUCAGAACUAACAACAGAGGAACUUGUUGUUUAUGUAAAACAAGAAUUUCAGAACUUAGGAUUUCUCUCCAAAGAGUUCAGCCAUCUUCCAAACGAUGCCAGUUCUGGCAGCAGAGAAUUACUGCUGGCAUUUGCGUGGUUGUUGUGUAAACAAAAUUUCGUUGACAAGUUCAUGGACAAUUGCUCCUCUCCCAUAGAGGAUUCUUCGUUACUAAAUGAGCUUGAGAGAAACAAGCCAGCAUCAGAAGGCAGAAGUUUAGCAUUGUCAACAUCCCUGUCCCCGGUACAGAAGGUCCAACAACUUCAGCUCUUGAAUGGGAAACUAAGAAGUAAAUUGAGGAGGCUGUAUUCAUUACAAAGAGAGAAAGCUAAACUUCAGCAUCGGGUGAAUGAGUGUACCCAGGGUGCCUCCCUAACACCUGACAUGCCUCACCUGUUCUCCCUAGAGGUACACCUGCUGAGACAUCCCCAGCUGAUGAGCAAGAUCAUGACCCUCCUAGAGAAAGACAAUGUGCGACUCCGACACAUGCAGGAGUGGAGGGACCAGGAACAGGUCUUCUGGAAGUGGAUGGAGAGUGUCCUUGAACUCAAGGUCAAGGAAUCUCCUCGUAAUGAAGAGACACCAAUGAUGUACUACAACAUAGGGCCUGACCCUGUGUCACGCAUGAAUGAAGCCAGGAGGAAGUUGGAAGAAGCCAUCCUUAGAUACGAAGCAAUCAUUGAACAGAUAGAAGAAAUGUGGGAGACAAAGACAUCAUAAAGGCCUGGUUCUUCACACAAUGGUUUAUGUAUCCUGUCACUCUUGACCGUUUUGCAUUGUUUCAAUAGAACUACAUGCAAUGCACAGUAUCACAUUAGAAGUGAAGUGUCUGCUGAAGAGUUGGAUGGAUUACUGGACCUUCUGAACAUGGAGCUCUCUUUGCAAAGGUCCAAUCUUGCUAUGGGCAGUUCAGACUUUUUCAUGUUAAGAGACCCAACAUUUGUUUUGAACAAAAAAGAUAAGAAAAAGACAAACCUUCCCAAGCACUCAGAGCGUUUACCCACAGCUCUUGGUCCUGGUGAUGACAUGGGUAUGCCUGCAGAAAUCUCGACCGAGAUAGCAGCCUUAGAAUCUCAGAUGAGAUUGCUCGAGACAGAGGUAGCCAGAAAGACUCAGUGUUACACCUUUGACCUUGAGAGACUUUCUGUAAGGGUUCCAGGAGCAUUACUGGUCCAACCAGCAUCUUGUGUUUGAAACUGCUGCCAAAGACAACUAAAUUAGCAAUAGUGUAUGUUCUGCUCCUGCCCCUACAUUAUUUUGAAAUACAAGUCCACUGCCAAUCUUUUGCAUUGUUUGGUAACAAUAACAUCAUCAAAAGGAAAAAAAUUACGUAAAGUUUUAAAGGAAAGGUAAGUUGAUUUUAUUAUGGUAUUGUACAUAUACCUACUUUAAAAGUAUUCUUCUCUCAUUAGUGACCUGUAUUCUUUACAAAUGUUUUGAGGUCAAGAGGUCAUUUUUCACUGCUGAUAUUUCACUGUAAUGUUAGUUAAAAAAUAUUGUGGCUGACAUUAUAUUUCAACAUAAAAAACUUGGUUUACAAUAUUGAAUUUCAUUUAAAAUAUGUGAACAUUGGAUAUUACACUGUAUGUAAAUAUGUGAACAUUUAUUUGGUUGUUUUUUUUUAACAUUUAUUCCAACGUGUUAUGUUUAUUUACAAUAUAAAUAUUUAUUGAUAUACAUGCAUUAUAAAUAUUUGUGUUAUGUGUGUUAUAUAUGUUUAUAUGUCUUCACCAAAGUUCCGUAUCAUUGAAAUGUAAAUGAAAUGCUUUUAACAGUUUCAUAUGGUUAUAGCCUGCUAUUGAUUGUUCGUGGAUUAAAAUAUUUUGAAUUUUC
rnacentral:misc_RNA from 1 species